rnacentral:rRNA from 1 species
UACGUAGGGACCAAGCGUUGUUCGGAUUUACUGGGCGUAAAGGGCGCGUAGGCGGCUUAACAAGUCACUUGUGAAAUCUCCGGGCUUAACUCGGAACGGCCAAGUGAAACUGUCAAGCUAGAGUGCAGAAGGGGCAACUGGAAUUCUCGGUGUAGCGGUGAAAUGCGUAGAUAUCGAGAGGAACACCUGCGGCGAAGGCGGGUUGCUGGGCUGACACUGACGCUGAUGCGCGAAAGCUAGGGGAGCGAACGGG